AUUUGAUUUGAUUCUCACAACAAUCCUAUGGGGGUUGCUGUGAAGCUACAAUGGGACAAUGAAUGUCAAGACUUUAGCAGAAUACCUGACAGAUCAUUCACUUCAGGGGAAGCCUGCUGCCAGGUCACCUAGCCCUGUGAAGAGGCCAGCACGGUGAGGAGCUGAGACCUGCCAAAAACCACAGGAAUGAUCUUGGAUGUGGAUCCUGCAGCCCCAGGUGAGUUUGGAAAAGACUGUAACCCUGGCUGUCAACUUCUCUGCAACCUCAUGAAAGACCCUGAGUCAAAAUGAUCCAGCAAGCUGCUCUCAGAUGCUCGAACCUCAGAAAUGGAUAAUCCAUGCCCUUACAACAGUGAACAGUGCCCAAUGCAUAUUACGCAUGCAAUAAAUAUUGGCUGUCUUUA